GUCAUAUGCUAUUUUUUAACCCAAAUUUGAGGAUGUAGGUCGAGCUGAACCAAAGGCAUUUCCAUCGAAUUUAGGAAUUUGUAGGUUCACAGAUAUCAUCAAUAUGGAGAAGAAUCUGCAUACCUGCCAAUGGACAACUGUUUUGGGCAGAAUAAGAACAAUGCAGUUAUUGGGAUUUAGUGUCUGAUGUAUUCUGAAGGGGCUGGAUAGAGAUGUAGCAUUUACUUAAAUGGAAGCAGGUGACAUAAAGUUCAGUCCUGUCUGAGAUUUAGUCUGUGAAAGGUAAGUUGUUAGAAUGUUGUUUUUUUUGUUUGUUUUUUUUUUUUUUUUUUAAUUUUGGUGCUUUAAAUGUAUCUAUUGUAAAACUGAAGUUGUUUCCCUGUUGGUUUAAACCCAAAUAAAAGAAUUUUGUAUAUAAUAUAUUGAAGUUUGGUACUUUAUUUAAACACUGAAGUUGUUUAUAUUACCUUAUUAUGAAAAAGAAAGCUUAUAUUAAAACAAUUACAGGUAUUUUAUCAUAAUAUAAACAACAUGUUUAUUUAAUCAAACCAAAUGGAGGCAGCACACAUCCUUUGUGGACUGCUGAGCUUGGCAAACUGGUUAUAUUCUUUAACCGGUUGGAGUACACCAAGAAAACCCUGGAGUUAAUUCCAAACUAGAGGAAAUAUCAUCACUUCAGAACUUCAGCUGACAACUCAGUGAGUAAAUUCAUGAGAGAGCAUGCCAAGGACAGUGAGAUUGAAGUAAACGUUGACAAGCUCACAACGAUGACUUUUCUCAGAGAUUACCCUGAAUGCAUCCAACAUAAAGGACUUCAAAAAGGCUCUGAUACUUGUUCAACUAAAUGCUCCCCCAUGGUUUAACACCUGUGUUUGUUCAGAACCAACAGCAUCAAGACACUUAAAUAAGUGAAAAAUACUUGUCAAUAUACUGAUAUGUGAUAUUUAUUAACUUAAUCUAAGAUUUGAGAAUGAUCCUGUUACUGAGCUGAUGAAAAGUUGAUGUGAUAAUAAUCAUGUUUGUGACCUGUUGCCAUGGUAACCAGGAUAACAAACAAACCCUUCAAGACCAUUCAAAUAAGUAAAAUUAUAGUAAAUUACAGUGGAAACAUACUUUAACUCAUACAUAUACAUUGGUUUGUAUAAGGUGCAAGUUCCAACCUAAUGUCAAUUGAUUGUGAAAAAUUGCCAAUUAACUACAGUAUUUGAUGAACAGUUUUCACUUAUUCUGCCAUAUUCUUGAAUGUCAAAUACAUACACCAGGUACAGUAAGGUUUGAGGAUUUCAAUUAACAAAGAAAUUAUUAUUGACUGCUUCAGAUGACAUUUAUUGCAUAUUUAAAUGCAAAUUUGACCCGAAAACGCCUUUUUCAAUAAUGAUUGCCAUGGUAACCAAAUAAUUUUAAUUUAUUUUCUCAAUUAUAUUUAAGAAUGGUUUUGAAAAUAUGUUGUUGCCGUUAUAAUGCGGAAUUGUGUGUAUUGUAGUGAUGCAUAUUUAUUGCAUCAGUUACCAGUGAUUUUGUGUGAUAAACUGUGAUUUUAGCAAAUGAGUGAUAGAAGGGUGCUACACCCUGUUUUUUGUCUGUAUAACUUCUCUGCCAUAAUGGAGACCACUAUAUGAUUAUUAUUAAAACAAAUUUAAAAAUUCUAGCGGUUUAAGCCUAUAUAUGCUUGAAUUGAAGACAUUUAUAAUAUUGUUGUCAAAAUUAGUUACUUCACAGCUUGAUAAAAUGUACCUAAGCAACCUUUCCAUUUUUCUUCAAUAUCUUCAAUUUUAAAACCUUCCUGAACCCUGUAAACAUGUUUAGCUUUAUCUAUGAAUAAGCAUCGAGAAUAUAAUUUGUCAUGUACUAUGUGGCCUACUGCAUACUUCCUGAAACUACAUAAUGACUUGUACAUGCUAAGUAGCUAGUAUGUUAAAUAAAUUUUUCUUUUUGUCAAAUGUGCCCAUUUAUUAAGUGAUCUGAUUAUACAAUAGUGUAAAUUAUGCAUUAUGGUUAUGUUUAUUAAAUUAAGAGUAUAUUUACCACCAUUUCAUGUUUUAUGAGCAAUGAACAACUAUAUAUAAAAUAAAAGUCACAUUUGAGGUAAAUUGGUAAAGUUGAUGUGAUAAUAAUCAUGUCUGUGACCUGUUGCCAUGGUAACCAGGAUAACAAACAAACCCUUCAAGACCAUUCAAAUAAGCAAAAUUAUAGUAAAUUACAAUGGAAACGUACUUUAACUAAUACAUAUACAUUGGUUUGUAUAAGGUGCAAGUUCCAACCUAAUGUCAAUUGAUUGUGAAAAUUUGCCAAUUAACUACAGUAUUUGGCGAACAGUUUUCAUUUAUUCUGACAUAUUCUUGAAUGUCAAAUACAUACACCAGGUACAGUAAGGUUUGAGGAUAUAAAUAAACAAAUAAAUUAUUAUUGACUGCUUCAGAUGACAUUUAUUGCAUAUCUAAAUGCAAAUUUGACCCGAAAACACCUUUUUCAAUAAUGGUUGCCAUGGUAACCAAAUAAUUUUAAUUUAUUUUCUCAAUUAUAUUUAAGAAUGGUUUUGAAAAUAUGUUGUUGCCGUUAUAAUGCGGAAUUGUGUGUAUUUUAGUGAUGCAUAUUUAUUGCAUCUUUGAAUACAAAUGUUUCAAUAAAUUCUUGAACUUCA